ACGGGUGAGUAACGCGUGGGAAUCUACCCAUCUCUACGGAACAACUCCGGGAAACUGGAGCUAAUACCGUAUACGUCCUUCGGGAGAAAGAUUUAUCGGAGAUGGAUGAGCCCGCGUUGGAUUAGCUAGUUGGUGGGGUAAUGGCCUACCAAGGCGACGAUCCAUAGCUGGUCUGAGAGGAUGAUCAGCCACACUGGGACUGAGACACGGCCCAGACUCCUACGGGAGGCAGCAGUGGGGAAUAUUGGACAAUGGGCGCAAGCCUGAUCCAGCCAUGCCGCGUGAGUGAUGAAGGCCCUAGGGUUGUAAAGCUCUUUCAACGGUGAAGAUAAUGACGGUAACCGUAGAAGAAGCCCCGGCUAACUUCGUGCCAGCAGCCGCGGUAAUACGAAGGGGGCUAGCGUUGUUCGGAAUUACUGGGCGUAAAGCGCACGUAGGCGGAUACUUAAGUCAGGGGUGAAAUCCCGGGGCUCAACCCCGGAACUGCCUUUGAUACUGGGUAUCUUGAGUCCGGAAGAGGUGAGUGGAAUUCCGAGUGUAGAGGUGAAAUUCGUAGA
rnacentral:rRNA from 1 species